CUAGUAAUCGUAGGUCAGCAUACCGCGGUGAAUACGUUCCCGGGCCUUGUACACACCGCCCGUCACACCAUGGGAGCCGGUAAUACCCGAAGUCAGUAGUCCAACCUCGUGAGGACGCUGCCGAAGGUAGGAUUGGCGACUGGGGUGAAGUCGUAACAAGGUACC
rnacentral:rRNA from 1 species